UACGGAGGGGGGCUAGCGUUGUUCGGAAUUACUGGGCGUAAAGCGCGCGUAGGCGGACCUGCAAGUCGGGGGGUGAAAGCCCGAGGCUCAACCUCGGAACUGCCUUCGAUACUGCGGGUCUCGAGUCCGGGAGAGGUGAGUGGAAUUCCUAGUGUAGAGGUGAAAUUCGUAGAUAUUAGGAAGAACACCAGUGGCGAAGGCGGCCCACUGGAUCGGUACUGACGCUGAGGUGCGAAAGCGUGGGGAGCAAACAGG
rnacentral:rRNA from 1 species